rnacentral:tRNA from 1 species
GCCUGGGUGGCUCAGUCGGUUGGACGUCUGACUUCGACUCAGGUCAUGAUCUCACAGUCCGUGGGUUCGAGCCCCGCGUCGGGCU